CCUACGGGUGUCAGCAGUGGGGAAUAUUGCACAAUGGGGGAAACCCUGAUGCAGCGACGCCGCGUGAGUGAAGAAGUCAUUCGUUAUGUAAAGCUCUAUCAGCAGGGAAGAAAAUGACGGUACCUGAGUAAGAAGCCCCGGAUAACUACGUGCCAGCAGCCGCGGGAAUACGUAGGGGGCAAGCGUGAUCCGGAGUUACGGGGUGUAAAGGGAGCGUAGACGGCAGUGCAAGUCUGGAGUGAAAGGCUGGGGCUCAACCCCCGGACUGCUCUGGAAACUGUACGGCUGGAGUGCAGGAGAGGUAAGUGGAAUUCCUGGUGUAGCGGUGAAAUGCGUAGAUAGUAGGAGGAACACCAGUGGCGAAGGCAGCUUGCUGGACUGUAACUGACGUUGAGGCUCGAAAGCGUGGGGAGCAAACAGGAUUAGAUACCCUAGUAGUC
rnacentral:rRNA from 1 species